CGCACGGGUGAGUAACGCGUAUGCGACCUGCCCGUUGCAGGGGGAUAAUCGGGAGAAAUCCCGUCUAAUACCGCGUAACGCCGCGGGGCUGCAUGGCCCUGCGGCCAAAGGGAGCGAUUCCGGCAACGGAUGGGCAUGCGUGACAUUAGCUAGUUGGCGGGGCAACGGCCCACCAAGGCGACGAUGCCUAGGGGUUCUGAGAGGAAGGUCCCCCACACUGGUACUGAGACACGGACCAGACUCCUACGGAAGGCAGCAG
rnacentral:rRNA from 1 species